UACAGAGGGGCAAGCGUUGUUCGGAAUUACUGGGCGUAAAGGGCGCGUAGGCGGCCUUCUAAGUCGAACGUGAAAUCCCCGGGCUCAACCCGGGAACUGCGUCCGAUACUGGAAGGCUUGAAUCCGGGAGAGGGAUGCGGAAUUCCAGGUGUAGCGGUGAAAUGCGUAGAUAUCUGGAGGAACACCGGUGGCGAAGGCGGCAUCCUGGACCGGUAUUGACGCUGAGGCGCGAAAGCCAGGGGAGCAACGGG
rnacentral:rRNA from 1 species